rnacentral:rRNA from 1 species
UACGUAGGGGGCUAGCGUUGUCCGGAAUCAUUGGGCGUAAAGCGCGUGUAGGCGGCCCGGUAAGUCCGCUGUGAAAGUCGGGGGCUCAACCCUCGAAUGCCGGUGGAUACUGUCGGGCUAGAGUACGGAAGAGGCGAGUGGAAUUCCUGGUGUAGCGGUGAAAUGCGCAGAUAUCAGGAGGAACACCCAUUGCGAAGGCAGCUCGCUGGGACGUUACUGACGCUGAGACGCGAAGGCGUGGGGAGCGAACGGG